rfam:Cephalotus follicularis DNA, scaffold: scaffold227, isolate: St1.
AAACCAUGAUAAGGACACUCUAAGAGGAGGUCUUUCAAACGUUCCAUACAUCCAGAGAAUGAUUCAUUGUGUCUUUCGUGAAACUAAAAAAUGUCAUUCCUAAGCUU